rnacentral:rRNA from 1 species
AUUGAACGCUGGCGGCAGGCCUAACACAUGCAAGUCGAGCGGAAGAAGGGAGCUUGCUCUUGGAUUCAGCGGCGGACGGGUGAGUAAUGCCUAGGAACCUGCCUGGUAGUGGGGGAUAACGUCCGGAAACGGGGGCUAAUACCGCAUACGUCCUGAGGGAGAAAGUGGGGGAUCUUCGGACCUCACGCUAUCAGAUGAGCCUAGGUCGGAUUAGCUAGUUGGUGGGGUAAAGGCCUACCAAGGCGACGAUCCGUAACUGGUCUGAGAGGAUGAUCAGUCACACUGGAACUGAGACACGGUCCAGACUCCUACGGGAGGCAGCAGUGGGGAAUAUUGGACAAUGGGCGAAAGCCUGAUCCAGCCAUGCCGCGUGUGUGAAGAAGGUCUUCGGAUUGUAAAGCACUUUAAGUUGGGAAGAAGGGCAGUAAGUUAAUACCUUGCUGUUUUGACGGUACCAGCAGAAUAAGCACCGGCUAACUUCGUG